rnacentral:tRNA from 1 species
GACUUCGUGGUGUAGUGGUCAGCACACUCGGCGCGUAUUCGAGAGGUCCGUGGUUCGAGUCCCGGUGAUUGCA